rnacentral:rRNA from 1 species
GCUCAGAUUGAACGCUGGCGGCAGGCCUAACACAUGCAAGUCGAGCGGUAGCACAGAGAGCUUGCUCUCGGGUGACGAGCGGCGGACGGGUGAGUAAUGUCUGGGAAACUGCCUGAUGGAGGGGGAUAACUACUGGAAACGGUAGCUAAUACCGCAUAAUGUCGCAAGACCAAAGUGGGGGACCUUCGGGCCUCAUGCCAUCAGAUGUGCCCAGAUGGGAUUAGCUAGUAGGUGGGGUAACGGCUCACCUAGGCGACGAUCCCUAGCUGGUCUGAGAGGAUGACCAGCCACACUGGAACUGAGACACGGUCCAGACUCCUACGGGAGGCAGCAGUGGGGAAUAUUGCACAAUGGGCGCAAGCCUGAUGCAGCCAUGCCGCGUGUGUGAAGAAGGCCUUCGGGUUGUAAAGCACUUUCAGCGGGGAGGAAGGCGGUGAGGUUAAUAACCUCACCGAUUGACGUUACCCGCAGAAGAAGCACCGGCUAACUCCGUGCCAGCAGCCGCGGUAAUACGGAGGGUGCAAGCGUUAAUCGGAAUUACUGGGCGUAAAGCGCACGCAGGCGGUCUGUCAAGUCGGAUGUGAAAUCCCCGGGCUCAACCUGGGAACUGCAUUCGAAACUGGCAGGCUAGAGUCUUGUAGAGGGGGGUAGAAUUCCAGGUGUAGCGGUGAAAUGCGUAGAGAUCUGGAGGAAUACCGGUGGCGAAGGCGGCCCCCUGGACAAAGACUGACGCUCAGGUGCGAAAGCGUGGGGAGCAAACAGGAUUAGAUACCCUGGUAGUCCACGCCGUAAACGAUGUCGAUUUGGAGGUUGUGCCCUUGAGGCGUGGCUUCCGGAGCUAACGCGUUAAAUCGACCGCCUGGGGAGUACGGCCGCAAGGUUAAAACUCAAAUGAAUUGACGGGGGCCCGCACAAGCGGUGGAGCAUGUGGUUUAAUUCGAUGCAACGCGAAGAACCUUACCUGGUCUUGACAUCCACAGAACUUUCCAGAGAUGGAUUGGUGCCUUCGGGAACUGUGAGACAGGUGCUGCAUGGCUGUCGUCAGCUCGUGUUGUGAAAUGUUGGGUUAAGUCCCGCAACGAGCGCAACCCUUAUCCUUUGUUGCCAGCGGUCCGGCCGGGAACUCAAAGGAGACUGCCAGUGAUAAACUGGAGGAAGGUGGGGAUGACGUCAAGUCAUCAUGGCCCUUACGACCAGGGCUACACACGUGCUACAAUGGCAUAUACAAAGAGAAGCGACCUCGCGAGAGCAAGCGGACCUCAUAAAGUAUGUCGUAGUCCGGAUUGGAGUCUGCAACUCGACUCCAUGAAGUCGGAAUCGCUAGUAAUCGUAGAUCAGAAUGCUACGGUGAAUACGUUCCCGGGCCUUGUACACACCGCCCGUCACACCAUGGGAGUGGGUUGCAAAAGAAGUAGGUAGCUUAACCUUCGGGAGGGCGCUUACCACUUUGUGAUUCAUGACUGGGGUGAAGUCGUAACAAGGU